rnacentral:rRNA from 1 species
AACGAACGCUGGCGGCAUGCCUAACACAUGCCAGUCGAACGAGACCUUCGGGUCUAGUGGCGCACGGGUGCGUAACGCGUGGGAACCUGCCCUUAGGUUCGGAAUAACUCCCCGAAAGGGGUGCUAAUACCGGAUAAUGUCUUCGGACCAAAGAUUUAUCGCCUUUGGAUGGGCCCGCGUUGGAUUAGCUAGUUGGUAGGGUAAAAGCCUACCAAGGCGACGAUCCAUAGCUGGUCUGAGAGGAUGAUCAGCCACACUGGGACUGAGACACGGCCCAGACUCCUACGGGAGGCAGCAGUGGGGAAUAUGGGACAAGGGGCGAAAGCCUGAUCCAGCAAGGCCGGGUGGUUGAUGAAGGCCUUAGGUUUGUAAAGCUCUUUUACCCGGGAUGAUAAGAACAUAACCGGGAGAAUAAGCUCCGGCGAACUCCUG